AGCAGCAGCCGCGGUAACACGAAGGGUGCAAGCGUUACUCGGAAUUACUGGGCGUAAAGCGUGCGUAGGUGGUGGUUUAAGUCCGUUGUGAAAGCCCUGGGCUCAACCUGGGAAUUGCAGUGGAUACUGGGUCACUAGAGUGUGGUAGAGGAUAGUGGAAUUUCCGGUGUAGCAGUGAAAUGCGUAGAGAUCGGAAGGAACAUCUGUGGCGAAGGCGACUAUCUGGGCCAACACUGACACUGAGGCACGAAAGCGUGGGGAGCAAACAGGAUUAGAUACCCCUGUAGUCCCUGUCUCUUAUAC
rnacentral:rRNA from 1 species